UGGUCUAGUACAGGCCGAAACAAGGCGAAACCGCGAAUGGCUCAUUAAAUCAGUUAUGGUUCAUUGGAUCUUACCUUGUUUUACUUGGAUAACUGUGGUAAUUCUAGAGCUAAUACGUGAUACCCCAGCUCCGACCGCAAGGAAAGAGCGCUUUUAUUAGAUCAAAACCAAUCGGGCUUCGGUCCGUUCUCACUGUGGUGACUCUGAAUAACUUUGAGCUGAGCGCAUGGUCUUCGAACCGGCGCCAUAUCCUUCAAGUGUCUGCCUUAUCAGCUUUCGAUUGUAGGUUAUGCGCCUACAAUGGCUAUAACGGGUAACGGGGAAUCAGGGUUCGAUUCCGGAGAGGGAGCCUGAGAAACGGCUACCACAUCUAAGGAAGGCAGCAGGCACGCAAAUUACCCACUCCCGGCCCGGGGAGGUAGUGACGAAAAAUAACGAUGCGGGACUCUUCCGAGGCCUCGCAAUCGGAAUGAGCACACUUUAAAUCCUUUAACGAGGAUCUAUUGGAGGGCAAGUCUGGUGCCAGCAGCCGCGGUAAUUCCAGCUCCAAUAGCGUAUAUUAAAGUUGCUGCGGUUAAAAAGCUCGUAGUUGGAUCUCAGUUCCGGACCGACGGUUCACCGCCCGGUGCUUACUGUCGGCUUCCGAACAGCCGCACGCCGGCUCGGCCAGGGUGCUCUUCAUCGAGUGUCCUGGUUUCGGCCGGCACGUUUACUUUGAAAAAAUUAGAGUGCUCAGCGCAGGCUGCAACGCCUGAAUAAUCUGUGCAUGGAAUAAUGGAAUAGGACCUCGGUUCUAUUUUGUUGGUUUUCGGAACCCGAGGUAAUGAUUAAUAGGAACUGUCGGGGGCAUUCGUAUUGCGACGUUAGAGGUGAAAUUCUUGGAUCGUCGCAAGACGGACUACUGCGAAAGCAUUUGCCAAGAAUGUUUUCAUUAAUCAAGAACGAAAGUUAGAGGUUCGAAGGCGAUCAGAUACCGCCCUAGUUCUAACCAUAAACGAUGCCAACCAGCGAUCCGCCGGCGUUAUUCCCAUGACUCGGCGGGCAGCUUCCGGGAAACCAAAGUCUCUGGGUUCCGGGGGAAGUAUGGUUGCAAAGCUGAAACUUAAAGGAAUUGACGGAAGGGCACCACCAGGAGUGGAGCCUGCGGCUUAAUUUGACUCAACACGGGGAACCUCACCAGGCCCGGACACCGGAAGGAUUGACAGAUUGAGAGCUCUUUCUCGAUUCGGUGGGUGGUGGUGCAUGGCCGUUCUUAGUUGGUGGAGCGAUUUGUCUGGUUAAUUCCGAUAACGAACGAGACUCA
rnacentral:rRNA from 1 species